CACAGAGUGAAAAGGCAAUCUAUAGAAUGGAGGAAAAUAAUUGCAAAGCAUAUAUCUGAAAAGGAGUUAAUAUCCAGAAUAAACAGAGAACCAUAACUCAACAGAAAACAUGGUGCCAGUUUCCUUCUGCACCCAAAAGAUUAUCUGUAAAUGAUCAUCUAUUUGGAGACUUAAGAUCUAGAAUAAUUACAAGAUCCACCCAUCUGAGGAACUGCACUCAGCUGUGGGUCCCACACUUUAAACAGAUUUUACAGCAACUGGAGAUGUGUUCAGGAAGCCAGGAUAAAGAAGGAAUCCCAAAUGAGGAAGACUUGAAAAACCUGAAAACAGAAACUGUUAAAAAGAAAAUUGUAUCUUUAAGAAAACCUAAGCAAGAGCUAAGCAGCCCCUAAAUACUGUCUUGAAGGCAGAUCUAGAUACCAUCAGGCACCAGUCUCCUAGCCUCCCUCCCUAGCUCUCCCUUUUAAUAACACUAAAAUUGAUUCACUGGAUUGAGGGAGUGAUACAACAAACUCUGCAGGAUCCUAGUCACUAGGCUCAUGAAGUCAUUUGUCUCUCCAAUAAUGGCUGGUAUUGGCAUUAGGGGUUUUGUUUAGAGGAACUCCAGGUCCAGGGAAGACAGUAACUACCACCUGUGUGUAGCCCACAGACUGACUGAAGCCCAUUAGGCCAUCAUAAAAAUUCCCUGAAGAGUACAGAAUUGCUGACUAAUCAAAAGAAGGCCACGUGUAUCACUGGCCAACCAAGAGAUGGGGCACCAGCUGAAUAUACACAACUCAGCCCCAACUUCAAUCUCUAUGAAUCUUCAUCCUUAACCCUUAGGGAAACCUGGACAUUAAGCAAUAGCUGGCAGGCUCCUUGCUCUGCAUUUUGCAAAUGGAGACCUAUUUUCUUCCACCAACCUGAUGUCACUAGUUGGCUUUCUGUAAUCAAGCAAGCAGACCCAGGCUUGGGGGUUCUGUAGCAACUUCUCCAACUGGUUUAGGGGAUUGUUCUGCAGCAGUGUCUUUAAAUAUCUAAAGCACUGUCAGGAAAACCAGGAAUUCGACUUGUUCUAUAUAACCCAAGAUGAGACAGUGAGUAGAAGUUGUAGCAAAAUCAUUUGUUCAUUAUAUAUAUGGAAAACCUUUCCAAUUUGCAGAACUGCCCAAAGAUAGAGCCAACUGUUCAUGGGAAGGAAUGAGGGUCACAUCUUCACAAAACAUCAAGCAUGGCCACAUGGUCAAACAGCCAGGAGAACUUUAGAAAUAUGUCAAGAGGGCCAGUUCAAGUCCCGGCUGCCCCACUUCCAAUCCACAUCCAUGCUAAUGUGCCUGAGAAUGAAGUGGAAGAUGGUCCAAGUAGUUGGGCCCUUGCACUCAUGAGGGAGACCUGGAAAAAGUUCCUGGCUCCUGGCUUCAGUCUUCCAUCCACUGGUUCAUUUUCUAAGUGGCCUCAAUGGCCAGGGCUGAGUCAGGCUGAAGCCAGGGGCCAGGAGCUUCAUCGGGUCCUCCCAUGUGGUUGACAGGGCCCAAGUACUUGGGCCAUCCUCUGCUGCUUUGCCCAGGCCAUUAGGAGGGAGCUGGAUUGGAAGUGGAACUGUUAGGCAGUUGGAAAUUGCCCUGUGUGUAAGAGGGGCCUAAGGGAAACAAAGCAUCAGCAGAAGCUUGGAAGCAGCCCCGUAUUUUACACUGAUAAUUUCAUUAUAUAAUAUAUAAUAUAAUUUCAUUAUAUAAUAUAUAAUAUAAUUUCAUUAUACCCUGAUAAUUUCAUAUAUGGUCUCAGCAUUCCCCCCAAGGAAAGCUCCCCAGGAGAAUCCACUCUGCUCAGCACCAAAUGGGUUUCCUGGCCUGGUGACAAUAAAACUUGGAGCAAUAAAACCUUCGCAGCUUCCCCCAAGGAAGGCACCCUAAGGGAAGCUCCUCUGUGCCAGGUGGACUACCCAGUCUGGAGUAGUGAAACCUCGGGAGGAAUUUCACCUCAUUCAUGCUCAGCAAACUCUUUGUACUGGAGAAGAAAGGGGAGGGGAAGGAGAAAAGGUAAGAAGAACUGGACCCCAUUCCCCUAAAAGCACCUGUCUGAAUACAACUGCACACUCAGUUCUCAGCUCUUUCCUGAGCCACCUACCUGGCCUGUCAGGUGUAUUCUCUCCAUGAAACCUUGUAACCUUGCUUUCCCCAGCCUGAAUGACUGGGCAGUCUCUCAGAUUCUGUCUGGAGAGGUACCCAUCUAUUCUGAUGGAUACCAUACCCUGUUAAACCUUGCUACCUGGGGCCAGCGCUGUGGCAUAGCAGGUAAAGCCACCGCCUGCAGUGCCGGCAUCUCAUAUGGGCACCGGUUAGAAUCCCCUCUGCUCUGCUUCUGAUCCAGCUCUCUGCUAUGGCCUGGGAGAGCAGUAGAAGAUGGCCCAAGUCCUGGGGCCCCUGCACCCGUGUGGGAGACCCAGAAGAAGCUCCUGGCUCCUGGCUUGGAAUCGGUGCAGUUCCAGCUAUUGCAGCCAACUGGGGAGUGAACCAGUGGAUAGAGGACCCCUCUCUCUCUCUCUCUCCCUCUCUCUCUGCUUCUCCUCUCUCUGUGUAAAACUCUGACUUUCAAAUAAAUAAAUAAAUAUUUAUUUAAAAAAAAAAAAACUUGCUACCUUCCUUACCAUUUUCUCUGUCUCAUGUCUGAAUUCUUUCUUGUGCAAAGACAGGAACCUAUUCCACUCAUCUCCACUAACAGAGCAGCCUGGACAAAAACUGGCACCUGUAUGGGAUGCCCGUGUCACAAGCAGUGAUCUAACCUGCUACACCACAACACCUUCCCCUGCUUCAGAUAUUAGUUAUAACAGGGGUGAACAUUUUUAUGAAGCUUCUUAUUAUGAGCAGGAUAUCAUGCAUCAGAACCAAUUAUCUUUGCAGGUGUAAUGACUGGGAACACAUUAAAUCAAUGUGGGCUAACUGUAGUACAUGUUAGAAAUUUGAUGAAAAGCUAGGAUGAUUUGGCUUGGGAUAAGAGCCCUAAUGAAUUCAAGCUGCUACCUCUAAUAUGCUUUUGAUGUAGACUUUAUCAGGUCUAGUACCGCUUCCUUAGCUUGGAUUUCCUCUGUGAAGAUGAACUGAUUAAGCUAAAAGAGUGACACAAGGGUAAAACCAGAGUUGAAACCCUGGGUCAUAAAGAAUAGAUUCACUCCAAGGCUGGUGCUGUGGCCCUGGCCUGAAGCACCGGCAUUCCAUAUGGGCACCGGUUCUAGUCCCGGCUGCUUCUCUUCCGAUCCAGCUCUCUGCUAUGGCCUGGGAAAGCAGUAGAAGAUGGCCCAAGCCCUUGGGCCCCUGCACCCACAUGGGAGACCUGGAAGAAGCUCCUGGCUCCAGAUCGGCCUAGCUCCAGCCGUGCGGCCAUUUGGGGAGUGAACCACCCGACUGAAGACUUUCUCUCUGUCUCUCCCUCUCACUGUCUGUCUGUAACUCUACCCCUCAAAUAAACAAAUAAAAUCAGAAAGAAAGAAAGAAAGAAAGAAAGAAAGAAAGAAAGAAAGAAAGAAAGAAAGAAAGAAAGAAAGAAAGAAAGAUUUCAAAGCUACCCUCAGUUCAGAGAGCUUUGCAGGAUCUCACAGGUGAUGAUCAAAGUAAUAAACAAUUUACCCAUAGAUAGACUGGAACCCACCUUUGUCAUUCCAAAAGAAAUGCAUUGACCACCCCCAACACUGACCCAUCAAAAGAAGACCACAUGCAUUGUGGGCCAACCAGAGGCUCACAAAUGAGCUGAUCACAUCACUCAAUUCCCACUUCAAACUCUAAGAUUCACUGCCUCUACUCACUAGGGAGCCUGAGAAUUUUGUAACAGCUACUUGGCCCCUUGCUCUGUGCUUCGCAAUAAACACCUCCUUUUGUUCCACCAACCCAGUGUCAGUGAUUGGCUUGCUGCACACUGGGCAAGCAGAUCCAGUUUUGGGGGUUGUAUAGCAGUUCCUCCAAGCAGUUUUGGGGGUGCCCUAUAACACUAGUAGGCAGAAAACAGGUGUUUAUUAAGGAAGUACAAUCAAGAGUGUGUUUCUUUGUGUUAACUGCAGAUCAGCUAGCAAGAAAUUCAGAAGAUAGUGAGCUUAGCAUUACAAAUAGUGCACUUUCUCUGAGGUGGGGACUGUACUACUGGAGUGUUACAUGACCCAAAAUACUAAUGCCAUCAACAUCCAACCAGGGGUACUCAACAGGAGAUGCAGUUAAGAGGGUUUCAUGGGUUUGACCAAGAAAUAAAAUUCAGGGGCCAAUGCUGGGGUAUAGCUGGUUAAGUUGCUGCCUGCAAUGCCAGUAUUCCAUAUGGGUGCCAGUUCUCGAACUGGCUGCUCCACUUCUGAUCCAGCUUCCUGCUAAUGUGCCUGGGAAAGCAGGGGAGGAUGGCCCAAGUGCUUUGGCCCCUGCACUCACAUGGGAGACCCCGAAGAAGCUCCAGACUGCUGACUUCAGCCUGGCCCAGCUCCAGCUGCUGUGGCCAUUUCGGGAGUGAACCAGCAGAUGGAAGAUCUCUCUCCUUUCUCUCUGUCUCUAAGUCUGCCUUUCAAAUAAAUAAAUCCAUCUUUUAAAAAAAGAAAUUCAAUUCAGUAGUGCAUUCUCUUAACCAGAGUCAGAGAGACAAGCUCUGACACGCAUAAUUAAUUGAAAUACAAAUUGAUACUAUCUCUUUGAAGAAAAUUUGGUGAUAUCUUUUAAUUAAAAUACAUAAAAAGAUAUAUCCUUUAAUUAAAGUUAAUAGAAACCAUGAUCCUGCAAUUCUACUUUAAGAAGUUUAUCCUACAAGUAUACUCAGGUAUGUGCAUAAAGAUAUAGGAAUGAAGAUAUUCAUGGCACAUAAUUUAAAACAGUAACAAUUUACAAAUAAUCUAACAAUCCAUCAAUGGCUCUGGCAGAGGUCAUCUCUCCAGGAAAUGAUUUCCAAACCUUCACACUGGGCUUAGUGCCUCUCCUCUUGCUAUCUGGUCAGAAGACAGGGACACAGAACGAGCCAGAAGAACUAUGACACCACACCCUUCCACCCUAGGGUUGCCUCUGAAACUCCUCCCACAGCUGGCCAAUCCGAAAUUACUACUGUAGCAAAACCGCUGCCCAGAACUGGUGCCAGCUGGAAACAUCCAAUAUGCUGAUUGUGUGCCCACAAUGCCUAUAGCACAUUGUAAUAGCAUUAUAGGAUUGCCAUGGCAAACACUCUUACUCCCAUCAUGCACCUCCUGCCACAACACUUUCAAGACUUCCUAAAAAGGCCAGAAGAUGGGCAGUCACCAAACUUCCAGAAAUCUACAUGGUUUUCUGGAAAGUACUCCCUCCUUGUGCCUCCACAUCACACAAAGGGGAUGAACCCUCAUCUCGUGAGUUGCAAUAGAGAAAAGGGAACUCUUAAAAACUACUGGUGGAGCAGAAAGAACGGGCCAUCAAAGAAGGAGGUGCCUUUCUCUCAAGGGAGGAGAGAACUUCCACUUUGAUUAUGGCCUUGUCUAAAUAAGGCCGGAGUUUGUGAACUCAAGAGGCUUCCAUAGCCUUGGCAGCUCGUGACAAGAGACUCGGGUGAUUACUGACGUCAUAAAUAAGAGUCUCGGGCCGGCGCCGCGGCUCACUAGGCUAAUCCUCCGCCUAGCGGCGCUGGCACACCGGGUUCUAGUCCCGGUUGGGGCACCGGAUUCUGUCCCGGUUGCCCCUCUUCCAGGCCAGCCCUCUGCUGUGGCCAGGGAGUGCAGUGGAGGAUGGCCCAGGUGCUUGGGCCCUGCACCCCAUGGGAGACCAGGAAAAGCACCUGGCUCCUGGCUCCUGCCAUCGGAUCAGCGCGGUGCACCGGCCGCAGCGCGCCAGCCGCGGCGGCCAUUGGAGGGUGAACCAACGGCAAAGGAAGACCUUUCUCUCUGUCUCUCUCUCUCACUGUCCACUCUGCCUGUCAAAAAAAUAAAAAUAAAAAAAAAAUUAAAAAAAAAUAAAUAAAUAAAUAAGAGUCUCAAUUGUUAAAUCAACACCGGGAGUCACUGUGCACCUACUCCCCAUGUAGCAUCUCUGACUUUAAUGUGUUGUACUAUGCGAAUUAAUGGUAAAACUAGUACUCAAACAGUACUUUGUGUAUCUGUAAACUGUUGAAAUCUUUACUUAGUAUAUACUAAGUUAAUCUUCUGUAUAUAAAGAUAAUUGGAAAUGAAUCUUUUUAAAUUAUUUAUUGAUGAUAUUCACAUCUUUUUU